rnacentral:rRNA from 1 species
UACGAGGGGGGCGAGCGUUGUUCGGAAUUAUUGGGCGUAAAGGGUGCGUAGGCGGUUCGGUAAGUUCUAUGUGAAAUCUUCGGGCUUAACUCGAAGCCUGCAUAAAAUACUGCCGGGCUUGAGUAUGGGAGAGGUGAGUGGAAUUUCCGGUGUAGCGGUGAAAUGCGUAGAUAUCGGAAGGAACACCUGUGGCGAAAGCGGCUCACUGGACCAUAACUGACGCUGAGGCACGAAAGCUAGGGGAGCAAACAGG